GAUGAACGCUGGCGGCGUGCUUAACACAUGCAAGUCGAACGGAAAGGCCAGUGCUUGCACCGGUACUCGAGUGGCGAACGGGUGAGUAACACGUGGGUGAUCUGCCCUGCACUUCGGGAUAAGCCUGGGAAACUGGGUCUAAUACCGGAUAGGACAAUGGUUUGGAUGCCGUUGUGGAAAGUUUUUUCGGUGUGGGAUGGGCUCGCGGCCUAUCAGCUUGUUGGUGGGGUAAUGGCCUACCAAGGCGUCGACGGGUAGCCGGCCUGAGAGGGUGUACGGCCACAUUGGGACUGAGAUACGGCCCAGACUCCUACGGGAGGCAGCAGUGGGGAAUAUUGCACAAUGGGCGCAAGCCUGAUGCAGCGACGCCGCGUGGGGGAUGACGGCCUUCGGGUUGUAAACUCCUUUCGCUAGGGACGAAGCGUAUUUGUGACGGUACCUGGAGAAGAAGCACCGGCUAACUACGUG
rnacentral:rRNA from 1 species